rnacentral:lncRNA from 1 species
AACGACAACAUGUGCUCCACGUCACCCAUUUAUGUUAUCCAUGAGCUAAAUUUGAAAAUUUCUGAAAUAUAAAAGGAUGUGUUGAGAAUGAAUCUCAUUUGAAGGAAAAUACUGCUCUAACUAAUUUCACUACCCCGGUAAUCAAUAAACUAAUUAGUGGAAACAAGAAAGAGACGUUGAAUCCAAGGCAAGAAGAGCAAAAAUUGAUUUUCCAACAAAACAUAAUAAACUUAGGAGUUAAAUUCAACAACAUGAACAACAACAACAAAGCCUUUUCCCACUAGGUGGGGUUGGCUAUAUGAAUCUUAGAACACUAUUCCGCUCGGUUCUUUGUCACGUCCUCUGUUAGAUCCAAGUACUCUAAGUCUUUUCUUAGAGUCUCUUCCAAAGUCUACCUAGGUCUUCCUCUACCCCUUUGGUCCUAAACUUCUGUCUCGUAAUCCCAUCUUCUAACCGGAGUGUUAGUAGGCUUUCGUUUCACAUGUUCAAACCACCGUAAUCUAUUUUCUCUCAUCUUUCCUUCAAUUUCGGCUACUC